CUGACGGUAUGUAGACCUUGUCGCGUGGACGCAUGUUGUAGUGAUAGCCACCAGUUCUCAGCAGGCGCCUCCCAAUUUGAUCCCGACCCAGGAUUUAUUCCAUGGUCAAAACAUGAACUAGUACUGGCCUGACAAAUUUCUACCUUAUGUACAACCGCGCCUCGGUUAUCUGUUGGUUGGUCAGCCAUUAGCUCCUCCUCCCCGCUGUUUCUUUGGUUGGUCCAGUUAGCACACAAGCUAGGUCAUGUUUGUUAGCGGCUGUCAAAACCAUCACUGAGACAACUGGCUCUCUUUAUGGAUGGAUGACGGAAAGAUGCGAAUAUUGCUCUGUAUCCUUCUAACAGGCCUGUUAGGAGAUCUGUGGGAUGGAGUAGUUGCUCUUGGUGAAGGGGUCAGACUCGUGAAUGGGGAUAACAAGUGUUCUGGUAGAGUUGAAGUACUCCGCCAUGAAGAGUGGGGUACUGUUUGUGACGAUGAUUGGGACUUCCGUGAGGCUGAUGUGGUCUGCUUGGAGGUGGGUUGUGGCUUAGCUGAAUCUGCCUCUCGCAGUUCAGAAUUCGGCCAAGCCAGGGGAAAGAUUGUGUUGCAUCACGUCCAGUGUUCAGGACACGAGUCCAGUUUGACACACUGCGCUGUUGUCCGGCACAGUAACUCCUACUGCACCCAUGAAACGGAUGCAGGUGUGAGAUGUUCAGGUGCUCUGUUAAUGCCCAGCCUCUACUUGCUGUCACCUCACCCUGUGUUCUCUCCCGGGGAGUCUGUUCGCUUUCGCUGCAGUAUUCUGCUGCAUCAUCACCUCAGCGACUUCCACCUCUACAAGCGUGGUGUUUCCACACCUCUGGUCACACAAAGGGCCGACCAAGCCCAGAAUGGAGUUGACCUCACCCUGUCCGAUAUAGAGACUUUCCACCAAGGCAGCUACAGCUGUCAGUACAGCAUAAAGGGUGGCUUCCCUUCUCAGCUUCUCACCUCUCCACCCAGCAAUUCCAUUAACAUCACUGUGGUGGAACUCUUGACUCCCCAACACUGGUACAACACUUCCUCCGAGGCCCCGCCUGGCUCCGUCAUCAAAGGGCAGAGUUUUAAUAUCACCUGCUCCACGCCGCAGCAGUACGCUGGUGGUUCCUUCCAGCUGCGUCUGAUCCGCUUUAAUGGCACAGUGCGCCAGUCACUGCCUGCCCUCACCCAGUCUGUCACUUUCACCUUUCUCAAUGCCCAGAGUUCCAAUGAGGGAUACUAUUCCUGCCUGUAUCAGGUCCAGGUGAGCGGACGUACCUUUGUGUCCCGAGAAAGCCAGCCGCUGCCUAUAGCCAUAAGAGAUCCUGACCCAGUUCUGAGUCCCAUAGUGAUCAGCUGGCUUGUGUCUGUGGUGAUGUUUGUUGUAGCUGUCAUCACGAUAAUUAUUGUGGCCAAAAUACUGUGUAACAAGGAGAAGAAGCCCUCUGAACUGGAGCGAGAGACCAGAACCUGUGUGGACAACACAUAUGUUGCCUUAUCAAUUAACAAGCUAUGAUGGGAUAUACAGGCAACAGAUACUGGAAGGAACCCAUAUGCUAUCGUGACUGAUGAGGUUUUAUACCUAUGUCCCUCUAAAGUCUCUGCCCACACACAGCAACAGAUUCACACACACACGUGGACAGUCGAGGGCUGAAACUGUGUCCUUUCUGCAUCCAGACAAGAGGAGGCAUGAACCAAACCGCUUGGUUAACCGUCCACCACCUGCUAGCGACUGCUGGAACCUGUCUAACAUCCUCUGGAUGAGGCACAGUCUUAACUCGGCAUGAUGGACCUUUCUGAGACAGCACUGUAGUACUCUUAUGUACUAAACUUCUGACUAGUGUAUCUGCUGGAAAACAAUAGGUUUGACUUGCUGUGUAGUAUUUUUAUUAGCUCACAGCCACAGUGGACUGACAAACAGUUGAAUAUAAUUCUGCUGUUCUGUUAGUCGUUCUUAGACUAGACUCGGUAUUCACCCAGACCUGGCUACUGCCAUGAUCUCCGGUGUAGAGUUGAAAACUGGUACCAAAAGCUAAACUGGGGAAACUGUGACACGGAUUCAUCAGCAGCCUGUACUAUGAAGCAGGAUUCAGGUUUGACUCUAAACUUUUAGUUUUAAAAAGUUGAUUCUUUGUAAUGCUUACAUGAGACGGUGCUUGCUCCUUACUGGAUUGUACCGCCCUGGCUACUGCUGGAAACCUAACCUUUCCUGAAGCAGGUUAGGCUCUGAGAUAAAAGAUCACUGCUUAUGACAUAACUAACCCCCCCUGACUAUUCAGAAAAUUAAAGAUGAACAUUGGUCCAAUGAUGUCUAUUUCCAGCUCUGCCAAGAGUCAGACCGACUGUGCAGUUUGAUUUUCACUCAUCUUCAUUAUGAGAAGUAAUCAUAAAUUCAUAUUUAUGUAGAGUAAAAUAGAUUACUCUAGUUUGUUCUUAUAUUCUUAUAUUCAUCAGAACAAUGAUCCUUAAAGGAUUACUGGAUGUUUUUGUAUUUCAUGUUAACACUACUAUGCAUCUUUCAUUGUCAAAAGGUAUAUUCAUUAAUGCACUUAUGUCUGUAAAUAGCUUUAGUUAACAUGCUUUUGUUAAGAGUUUAGUAAGAUGUUCAUUUGACAAUCUACAGCUAUAACAAAGUACUUUAUAACAUCAACUACAUAAAAAGCUUUUAACAUGAUACAGUAUAUUUCAUUUAUUUUUGUACCCUUAUUUCACUGUUUAAAAAUAUUUUUGUUCCUAAAUAAAUUACUUGAAAGUUGAAA